UCUGAAGUAGAAAAUUAUAUUGUUAUAUUCUAGUGAAAAAAAAGAAAAAAAAAGAGGAUUCUAAAUAUCGAUCGUAUUAUAGAAUAAAUUAAUUUUUGAAUUGGUUUAACAGAUUACAAUCCUUUUGUAGAAUAAAAGUACGCAUAAAAAAAAAAAACUUGGAUAGGAUAAAUUUUAUGAGAAAAUCGAAAGAAAGAAAAGAAGAAGCCUGAGAACGGCCAUGUCCACAAUUUAGAUUUUUGCUGAUACGAUUUUUCGAAACGUCAUUUUAUAACGUGGACGUAUACUACAACGUCAAUGUAUGCAGGUUUGCCAACAGUCGGACAACGUGUUUUCUGCGAUCUAACCUGUACAUAAUAAUGCGGAUGCUCUCCAGCUACGCACACAAGCAACAAUGAAUAACACAUGAAUUAUUUUAUCUUUGCUGUUUGUCAAUAUUAAACAAGGAUAAUACGAUUCACUGUGUUACACAGGUCGCCUGUGUUACGUAGCUGGAAAGCACUCGAUGUAUGUCCACGUUGUAGAGUGUCUCAAAAACUCGCAUCUGUCAAUUCGUGAACAUGGCCACUCUCAGGCUUUUCUGUGCUAAUACAAAUAAAUUUACCUUUAUUUGGCUCUUCUUCUACUUCUUCACGAUAAUACUGUGCAUCAUCGUCUCCCUUUGGUUCAUUUUUCACUGUAGAUUUCUUUGCAAUUUUUUGUAGAAGCAUAUCUUUCUCUCUUUUUUUCUGAAUUCCUUUCAAUGAUUUCUCUUUGUGUUUUUCUUUUUGUACUUCCUUCUUUUUUCCAUUUUCUUCCUGUAACUUUGUUCUUUUUUCCUUUAAUCUCUUAUUCUCUUCUCAUUUCUUUAUCACGCGUUUCUCUUCUUCCGUUUUAUGUACUAAUGCAUGGAAAAGUACUUCACCAGCAAAGAGUCCCAUUUUCUACUUUGAUUAACUAAAACAGAUUCGGUCAACAUUAGUAAAUUAUAAAAUAAAUAUCUACAAAUUCAUUAUUUGUGUUAGCUCAUUCAGUUCUUUAACCUCCAGUGUUAUUCUCGGUUCCAAUUCGAAUAGUCUAAUUGCACUCUUAGAAUCAGCUUGAUUUCCUCUUGAAAACAAUUUUUGUGAUAAUGUGACAUGACUGCCUUCAUCAUCUUCCACUUCACUUUCAAACAUAGUCGGUUUCGUCAGAAACUCCAAAA